AUGUACAACUUUGAACAGGGAGGGCUAAUUGCCCAAUCAAAGAGGGCCGCACUGUUUCAGGAAACAUUAUUUGUGACUUGAAAAGUCAAAUUUGCUUUAUAUUUGUAAUGACUUGGUCAUUUAAUUUUCAUUAAUGUUUUUGUUUGCGUGUUUCAUAUUUAUUUUUGUUUUUCUCAGUUGAAAUGACUGAAUCAACCAUAUAUUGACUGG
rnacentral:misc_RNA from 1 species